rnacentral:misc_RNA from 1 species
AACGGUCUAUACCUGCGGUACCUGCGGAAGGAUCAUUACCGAGAGUUGGACUUCGGUCCGCACCCUCAACCCUUUGUAUACCUAGUAUGUUGCUUUGGCGGGCCGUCGGGCGCCCCUCCCCCUGUGGGGUCGGGACGUCCCGCCGCCGACCCAUGUGGUCGGCGCGUGUCCGCCGGAGGUUCCACGAACUCUAUGUUAACGUCAGUCGUUUGGGCCCAUGGGGCCUUAUGAUUUUUAAUC